rnacentral:lncRNA from 1 species
AGGAGUUGCUGAGAAGGACCUGCGGUUCUGACCUUCAGGGGAAUUCCCACGUCUGUAUGGUGGCUCGUGAAGAGCAUGGUUCCUUUUCUCAGCCCUCUUGAGGGGCGAGGAUGCUGAGGACUGAAGUCUGUGGGGUUGAUGCAUGUGGUCCCCGAGAGGCUGCCACAGGGCCAUUUUCAUGACCAGAGGGGUCUGUUCAACACCCUGUGGGUCCCAGCACCUAUCUCAGGAAGCAGGGUGCAUCUGUCCACCACCAAGUCUCAGGGUGGCUGGGUGAGUGCUCAUCAGUCCCAGACAGCAGGUUGGCACAAAACGACACUGCCCACAAAACCACAGGAAGAAGAGAAACUCCGACUGUCUUUCAGUACACAGAAGACACUGUACUGGACCCGGACAUUAGGCAGACACCCACGCCUGACUUUCAGGAGAAAAGAGAACAUGACUAACGGAUAUUCUUAGUAGAUGGUUUAUUAGAAAAGAGAACAUCUUCCAGCAUGUGUCCUGGGGUGAUGGGUGUGGGAAGCACUCAGUCCAUAGUCCUGGUCCCUGGCUUCCCCAAGCCCAGCGCCGUGAAUGUACAGUGGAAAGCAGAGGGUGCAGCGUCUCAGAAAGAUGCUUCCACUCACAAGGAUUGGAGCUCACAAGUGAGCUCGAUAACCUGCAAACCAGAGAAACCUGAGACACUGCCCCUUGGCCAUUUUAUCAACGGAGACUUUAUUGUGAU